CACUAGAGAUGAUGGACUCUGUGCAUUUGCAACGCAAAACACGGCCCACCUUCCCGGGCCCUGGGUGGGGCUGUCAGGAAGCACAAGGCAACUUUGAACUGCACCUUCGCUCCGGGCCCAGAGCCAUGCACUUCUCCUUCCUGGGCCACCGCUUUGGAAGAAGAUGCCAGACAUCCCACCCUGGGGCCGGAGCAGGCGCCGGGGGCGGGGUGGGGGAGGAAGGGGUGCCCCACUAUUCCUCCUCAGUGUGCAGUUUGAGCCAGCUGGACAUGUGGGCGUCUACACAGCAAGUCACCCACAGGGGAGCCCACCUGAGCCCCCCCCCCCAGGCCGGUCCCCUUCGAGAAAGUUCUUCUGGAUCACCUCCUCGGGAAGAUGUCAGCGGCUUGGAAAGCUUUAACUGGAGCAGCGGACGGAGCCGACCUCCCACACGGCGCCUGUUUUCUUACGUCCAUCCGCAGUAACGAGCCUCCUUUUGUUGGGGCCCUGGAGGCUCCGUAUGGGGAAAACAGCAGGGAGAACUAUGUCAACCCAAACAGAGCUUUCUGCUUGAAUCCAGCAUCUCGACAGGGAUCCAGCACGGAGGAAAUUCACAGGAGUGGUUGUGACGGCAACCGUGCUUGGGUUGCGGUGACAGCCUUUGAAACGUGCAACGCGGUGCCACCGGAGAGCAGGCGCGUGACCACACCUGUCACGGCCGCUCAGGUGUGCGGGACGGGACAGGCAGGACGCAGGCCCUGCCCGCAGGCAGGUACCCCUGUCGCUGGCCUGCGGGUGGUUUCACCGGGACUUCUCGGUCCCACCGUCUUUGAGAAAUCUCCCAAAGCCCAACAGUUACGUGCAGGUUGGAGCAGAGCAGAGACGCCCGCGCCUGCCUCUCUGUGCUCCCAGGUCAAGCGGGACCUGCGGAUUCUGGGCUGCGGGUGGCUGUCACCGAGCAGCGAGGCGGAGCCCUGCCGUGUCCCCCUGCCGUGUCCCCAGAGAUGACUGUCCCUGGGGAGGGCACGCUGCUCUCUGGUCGAUUUUCCUGCAGGAUUUUUUAGCUUAAGGCAAAAGCCUACUUUAAGUAGCAACACCUGAUUUACCCAUUUAUAUGUUUAUUAGAAUACCAGGUAAACUAAGGCUCUCCUCUUCUAGCUCAGUAGAUUAAUGGUAAACACCCACAUUUUCUGAAACUCAGGAUGGCCAGUGAGGUGUCCCAAGUAACUUCAGUGACCAGAGUUAAUUGCAGACUCCCGAGAACACUGGAGAUCCCUCUCUUAGCCACACUAAAUGCCAAUGAGCUGCCCUUAUAUCCGGGUCCCCUGGGAAGGGGGGCGGGGAGGGGAACGCAGGGCCAGGCACCCAAAGCGCCAGGGCACAAGCAGAUCACAAGCAGCCGCAGCUGUUGUCAGUGGCUGAUCCCGGAGUGGUUCGAUGCCCCUUGCACACGACAGACGUCGGGGUGUGUUCUCGAUCACCGCCGUCCACCAGCCUCUCUUCCAUCCACACCGUUCCCAGGGGCCUCAUAUAAACGGCAGCCGUCCUGUCCUGCAGACCCCAAGCAACCACAAACCCAGAAGUGGAGAGACGUCACCAACGCUCACAGCUGGGCCAGGGUGCCAAGAGCAGGCUGCAGCGUGGGGGGAGGGGGUCCCCUAGUCCUGUCUGGACUCUGGGGUCCUGAGACCCCUCCAGGGGCCCUCAAGGGGCUUGUUGUCAUGAGGCUAAGGCAGAUUUUCCACUGUCUGUACCUGGCAUUGCUGGAGUGAAAGCUGUCAUGGUUAGAACCACUGGCUCCACGGCAAGGCAGGUACGUGGGCCACGAGCCACGGGGCCACGGUGCUCCUCACCACCACCCGCUCACAAGGAAAACAAAACCCAGUGCCACUUAAGAACGCCCAGAAUUAAGCAGUGAGAUUAGUUAUUAAUCAU